AGAAUUAAUUUAUGACUGUACUGCUUAGUUCCCACACUACUGGACAAGGCAAUGAGGGAAGAAGAGAAAAAAGAUGUGUAUACAAAACCCCCACCAUUUUCAUGUGACAAAAGUUCUUAUUCAGAAGUCUCUUUAGGACAUUGCUUAAGACAUGGUUUGAAAGUAAUUUCUGGAAACAGAAAAGAAAGAAAGAAUAACAGAUGCAGAAAAGAUCCAGAAAGAGAAAACCCAUUUAAAGGAGUGAGAAGAGAGAAGGAUGUGGAAUAUCAUAAUAACCAAAAGAAAGGAACUUCAAAAAUAAAUGAGUAGAUAGAUAUAGUGGGCAUUUAGGAAAAGAAAAAUCAG
rnacentral:lncRNA from 1 species